GAUGAACGCUAGCGAUAGGCUUAACACAUGCAAGUCGAGGGGUAACGUGUUGGUAGCUUGCUUCCGAUGACGCCGACCGGCGGAUGGGUGCGUAACGCGUAUGCAACUUGCCUCACAGUGGAGAAUAACCCGGAGAAAUCCGGACUAAUACUCCAUACACUCUUAAGUACGCCUGUACAUGAGAGGAAAGAUUUAUCGCUGUGAGAUAGGCAUGCGUCCUAUUAGGUAGUUGGUGAGGUAACGGCUCAACAAGCCGACGAUAGGUAGGGGUGCUGAGAGGCAGAUCCCCCACGUUGGGACUGAGACACGGCCCAAACUCCGACGGGAGGCAGCAGUGAGGAAGAUUGGUCAAUGGAGGAAACUCUGAACCAGCCAAGUCGCGUGAAGGAAGAAUGUCCUAUGGAAUGUAAACUUCUUUAGCGAGCGAGUAAGGACUUCCACGUGAUGGGAGUUUGAAAGUAGCUCGAGAAUAAGUAUCGGCUAACUCCGUG
rnacentral:rRNA from 1 species